GACGAACCGUACAAACGUUAUUCGGAAUCACUGGGCUUAAAGGGUGCGUAGGCGGCGCGGAAAGUAGGGUGUGAAAUCCCUCGGCUCAACCGAGGAAUUGCGCCCUAAACUACCGUGCUCGAGGGAGAUAGAGGUGAGCGGAACUUAGGGUGGAGCGGUGAAAUGCGUUGAUAUCCUAAGGAACACCGGUGGCGAAAGCGGCUCACUGGAUCUCCUCUGACGCUGAGGCACGAAAGCUAGGGUAGCGAACGGG
rnacentral:rRNA from 1 species